ensembl:snoRNA small nucleolar RNA SNORA33
AAGCCAGCUAUUGAAUUUGACUAUCUGUAUGUGAUUCUACAGAAAUUUAGAAAAAGCUGGUAAUAGUAAUGCUGCCACAUUAUGAGCCUUAAAAACAUUGAAGUCAUUAAGGUGCCUAAAAAUGGUUACAAAU